rnacentral:lncRNA from 1 species
AUGGGAAAUGGCCUUGUUGAGAGGUUUAAUAGAACCCUAGGCAGCAUGAUCAGAGCGCUCCCGGCGAGGUCUAAGGAAAAGUGGUCCCAGUUGCUCCAGACACUGACCUUUGCGUACAACUGUACCGCACACGAAUCCACAGGUUAUGCUCCAUUUUACCUGAUGUUUGGUAGAAUCCCGAAGCUGCCCGUGGAUGUGAUGUUUGGCAACGUUGUAAGAGACUGUGAAAUUGUUGGUUACGACAAGUAUGUAAAGAGGUUAAAAGAUGAUCUAAAAGAAGCACUUACAGUUGCUCAGAAAAACAUUGAUGCCAGUCAGCAACAUCAGGCUGAGUUGUAUAAUCAAAGGGCAAAAGGUCUUAACAUUGAGCUGGGUGAUCAAGUUCUGCUGGCCAACAAGGGUGAGCGUGGGAAAAGAAAACUGGCAGACAGGUGGGAGUCCACGCCCUAUAGGGUAGUUGCGCUAAACCCACAGUGUCACAUUUACCGUAUACGUAACACCAAGACAGGUCAGGAGAAAACUGUUCACCGCAAUUUGCUGUUGCAAGCAAACUUCCUUCCACUUGAGUUUGGGGAAUCUGAAUCAUUUGAGGACAGUGGUGAAUCUGCCCUUAGCAGUAGAAGUUUAUCAAUGGAUGUUGUUGGUUCUGCAUCUGAUUUGUGUCCUUUGUCGGAACGAGUCGCCAGUUGGGUUGAAAGGACCGCAGUUUCUGAUGACCCUCAGCAGAGGUUGUCCUGCAGAUCUGAAAGCCUUGAAUCAUUGAACGAAGUCUUGGAGUCAACCGGACAUGAGCAAUUAGCUGCAAAGAAUGAUUGUACCAAGGUGGAAAAUACUGUAAGCAGUCCAGAUGAAAGACAGAGCCGCGAUUCUUGCAGUUCUGUUUCUGAGGCAAUUGGCCAUAGUGACCAUAGCGGUUCACCUCUUGGAGCUGUUGAGCCACCUCCUGGUUCAGGGGAUAUGAGAGUUCGGACCAGAGUAGGUAGGAUUGUGAAACCAGUCAACAGACUGAUCGAGAACAUGACUCAAUCUAUCAAAACUCUGAACCCAGUUAGUGGGGUUGUAAGAUCAUUUUUGAGAUGA